CUUCAAAGUACGGCUUUAAAAGAACCCAAAUGUGGCUGUUGCAGCAGAGCCGAGGCCUUUCCGCAGCCUGUGCUGGUGGCUGAUGGGCGGCUGGGAUCGAGGAGCGCCCAGGUUGGGGUGUGCAGCUCUAAGAGAGCAUGCUGCUGUCUCGGGCUCAUCAGUGCCACCCCACAGGGCUCGGGGAAGUGAGGAAAUAACCUUCUCUGAGAGCCAGGAGGGUCAGGGAUGAGCCUUCCCGAAGUGCUGGUGGUGUGGUGAGGGUGUUUCUUCACAUAGAAACCUACCACAGGAGCUGGAGCUUCAUGAUUUCUAUCAAAAGCUUGCCAUUUCGUGCAGUAGAGGUUCUGUCAUGUGAUAUUACUCCACACAGAGGGAAGUUGGAGAGCCCUGCACGCUGCUUUACUCCACUGGUAAACAGUCAGAGGAUUUGCUUUGGUCAUAAAUGCAGCUUCACAACGUGCAUCUCUCCUCUCUCUUGCAUGUUGAACAUGGCAUUUCAACAACUGAAAUUCAGUGGUUGUCAGCUGAAUCAGGAUUCGAAUUAAUAGCUUGUGUAUUUGUAUGGAAUAUUUUCAGCCCCAAUAUUGAUUUGUAGGUAUUUCAAAUUACACUUGUAAAUGCAUGUGUGCAAUUUUUGUUAACACCAGGGAGGACAUCAUUUGCAUGCUGAGUGAAGGGUAGAUUGUAUUUUUUGUCUUCUAGAUUUUGCUGUCUUCACACAAGCUUGGUGUAGUAUUUUUCACACUCUCAGACACCUUUGCAAAAUUAGGAACUGUUGCUGCAUAAAUAUUCAUCUAUUAGACUGCUAUAUAUGUAUUGUCAAAACACCCAAACUGUUGUAGUACAGAACAUACCUGCAUGCAUCAGUUCCUACUCCUGUGGCUCUGUUUUGCUUUUCUUCUGAAAUACUUUGCAAGAAGAAAGUAAAGUAAGGAAUAUCUCAGGGUAGACUCAGGCUACAAAGUAGAGUCAUUGUUAAGAGAUUAAGAGAUUUAUUCUGAUUUGUCCUUUAUCUUUGCCUUCACUUGGCAGUUCAUUCCAUCUUCAUAUGGUUAACUAAAAGAGCUUUCUAUCUAUAUUUGGAAAGGAGUCUAGGCACACAAUUUCCAAGUGGUGUAAGUAAUAUAAGAAAAAUCCAUUUCUUAUGUCCCUGCAAUACUUGAGCAAUUAAAUUUUCCUUCCACUCUCUCACGCUGUAUUUUUCCAGUGCCUUUAAAUUCAGAUCUAGGUUUGGGCCCCUUUCCAGAACCUGGACUUCUCAGUAAUGGGUGUGAUUUGUCUCAUGUGGGAAUCCUGAAUAAAAUUACCAAUAACAUACACACAUUCAAUUAAAUGUUUCAACAUGCGCAUCAUUUAGGCACUCAGUAGGGAAAUACUCUCUGCCACGCUCAAGGAACGGUAAUCGAUAUAUGCUCACUAGUAACAUGUCUGAAAAUAUCAAAACACUGUAAGCAGCUAGGUGAUGUAGAUGACUUUGUCUUAGUAAAUUGUAGUCUGACAGCUUCGCUUAGCCCUAAUCAAUUCCUGUCCCCGCUGUUCAAAGGCAAACUGUCGAGUGCUUUAGUUGCUUCUGACUCAGUGUCAGAAAUCAUGAAGCGCCCCUUUCUUGGGAAGAAGCAAUCUGGACACAAUCAGAAAAUGAGCAGGACACAUUGUCCCAUUGAGACAACAUUGAGAAAAAAGUCACAUUAAGAGAAAAGAAUCACAAUCAGGUCUGGGAGUGAACUAACUGGGUGUUUUCACCUCUUGAAAUGUCAUACACUGACACAGGCAGGGUAACACUGUAAAAACAAGCAACUCAAACAGCCUGUCCACAGAAGGGAAGUUUCAGAUUUGUGUAUGCCUAUAAAGGGGAUGUGAAAGGUGACCUGUGAUUCUGGCAAGUUGAUCUGUGCAGGAAAACACUGAGCUUUGGCUGUGGAAAAGUGGUGUGAGUGCCAGGAGAGCCCAGUCUUCUGGGCCUACAGAGCUUCACUCGAGCCCCUGCUUCUGCAGAAGGAUAGACAGGUGGGAAAAU
rnacentral:lncRNA from 1 species